CCAACCCCUGGAGACUUGGCAGGUGUGGCUGCUGUGUCACAUAUGUGUCAGGAGGUGGCAGAGAAGAGAGAGGCUAUGUCUAUGCUAAGUGUUCUUAUUGGUGAACAUCUGAAUGAUUAUAGCCGAAUAAU
ensembl:snoRNA Gm24791 predicted gene, 24791